rnacentral:rRNA from 1 species
GACGAACGCUGGCGGCGCGCUUAACACAUGCAAGUCGAACGGAAAGGCCUGCUUUCCCUUGUGGAUUGCGGGUACUCGAGUGGCGAACGGGUGAGUAACACGUGAGUGAUCUGCCCCCAACUUGGGUAUAAGCCUGGGAAACUGGAUCUAAUUCCCGAUAGGACUGCAGGGUGGUGCCUGUGGUGGAAAACGAUUUUCUAGUGGUUGGGGAUGAGCUCGCGGCCUAUCAGCUUGUUGGUGGGGUAAUGGCCUACCAAGGCGGCGACGGGUAGCCGGCCUGAGAGGGUGGACGGCCACAUUGGGACUGAGAUACGGCCCAGACUCCUACGGGAGGCAGCAGUGGGGAAUAUUGCACAAUGGGCGGAAGCCUGAUGCAGCGACGCCGCGUGGGGGAUGACGGCCUUCGGGUUGUAAACUCCUUUCGACCGCGAGGAAGCCACCUGGUUGGAAGGGUGGUGACGGUAGUGGUAGAAGAAGCACCGGCUAACUACGUG